ensembl:lncRNA
UCAGUCACAUACUAAGACUUGUGGUAAUAGUCUCUCUGAGACAACCCAUCUUGUUUUUUGGACAACUUUUGUAGGGCACUGAAUGAUGACUUUAAGGCCACAGAAAUGGAGACAGAGCCAGGUCUUGUGAAUCUCAGGCUGGCAUUCUGCUGACUACAUGGAACUGCACCAGACAGAGGAUUCACCUGUGAACUCUCAGCGUGAUAGAAGCCUUGUUGGAACAGGCAAAACCUGGCCUAUCCUCCCCUCUACUGCUUGAUAACACAGCAUGAAAAGAUGCCAACUAUAAAUACCUAAAGUAAGAGAUUAUCCUGACAUAAUUUGGAUUUAUAGAUCCUGUCAUAUUUUGGAAAGAGCAGAUGAAAAGCUAUGAACAGAGUUGGAGUUCUUUCACUCUCAGCAAAUGCGUUUGAUCCAUCGGAAAGAACUGUUUUCCCAGGUUGGGAUCAUUGUUCCCAGGUCUGCAGAGCACCCUAAAGACCGAAGAUUUAAUUUUCUCUUAACAGGGGUGUUAAAAAUGGAAUUUGGUGUUCUUUGCUCAAAUAUGGACAAAGGGCUGAGAAGCUGAGCUACUAGCAACCCUUACAGAAGUCAGCAAGUAUGCAUGUGCCGCCCAAGGAACACAGAGAGGUUAUGAAUUGAAUUCUCUCGUCACGAGGGGCCAGGGCACAGCCAGCCCUGCGCCUCAGCAAGGAAAGACAUUUCUUCUCCACUGUCAUGUCUGCAAUGACCUCCAGGUGGCCCCAUUUCCUACACAGCUUCUGUGCUGUACCAAGAAUGACCAGAGACCCCCAGUUAUGCUCUCCAGACUCCAGGUGCUGCCUUCUAUCUCCUUACCUCAGAGGCUUAGAGAAACUUAUAAUUUAGAGGCCACUUGCUAGAUGAGUUCAGAGACUGAAAUGUCAGCCAGUAACUGAGUCACAGGCUAUUGGGAGCCAGAUGCUUAUAAUCUACUAUCUGAUGGAGGUUUUAUGCUUUACAGAGGCCUGAUGUUUUAAAAGGUUAGUCUCCAGAUAAAAUCAUCUGCUGAUAUUCAUGCUGCCGUUUUAUCCAAAUACUGAAGAGGUGGAAAGUGCUCUAAUUAAAAAAAAAAUGUGCAGCAUAUUGAAACAUAAAUGAUCUGCAAAUAGACUGAAUGAGGUAAUGGAUCAGAGAGGUUCUUAAGACGGGAAGAGGUGAUUGGCACAAUAAGAGCUAGCCAAUGCUCUAUACUGAAUAUGGGGUAUCUGCUGACCCAGAAAGAGAUGAGAUUUUUGCUGCAUUUCUGAUGACUCAAGUAGGGGUAGCACCUCUAAGAAUAGAUUUAAGCUAUGCAUCUUUAGCAAGAAUGUCACAGAAAUGAUUCAGUCUUCUCAUAAACCCUAUUAGGUGGCAUACUGUUUUAACUUAUUGUAUUACUAAUGAUAUUUACUUUGAUCACUUGGUUAAAGUUGUAUCUACCAUGCUUCUCCAAGGUAACAUUACGUUCUUCCCCCUUUGUAAUUAGAAGGUAUUUUGUGGGAAGAUACUUUAAAUCUAUAUAAACAGCUCUUUCCUUAUUACUUUCAAUUUACCCAUGUAUUUAUUUGAUCUUAUUUAGUUUAAUAGGUAAUAAUCUUACUAUCAGUAUGGAUUUGGAUACUCAAAUUCUCCCAGAGCUGGCCAGAGGGAGUCCCUUCCAGCUUUUUUUUUUUUUGUCAUUUUGAUGUGGCCCAUUCUUCUUUGAGUACUUCCUGAGUUUCUACCACAAUAAAAUAUUCUAGGUUCAUUUUGUAUUUUCUCUUGCCCAAUCUGAAAUCAGCUAUUAUCCUAAGGUAUCUUUUAAUGGAGAAUUAUAUUUAAACACCCUGAUCUGGGUAUUAAGUGUUCUCACUGAUUUGGGGUGUUGCUACUCACAGUUCUUUUCAGUGGCCACAUAUAAAUAUAGAUGCCUUUGCAUUUACUUCUCUAUAUUUUAAAAAUCAAUUUUAUUGAAGUUUAUUUACAUACAAUAAAAGUAACCAU